rnacentral:rRNA from 1 species
GAUUCUGGCUCAGGAUGAACGCUGGCGGCGUGCUUAACACAUGCAAGUCGAACGAGCGGAUGGCCUUCGGGCCUGAAGCGAGUGGCGGACGGGUGAGUAACGCGUGGGUAACCUGCCUUACACAGGGGGAUAACAGUUAGAAAUGACUGCUAAUACCGCAUAAGCGCACAGUGCCGCAUGGUACAGUGUGAAAAAGUUCCGGCGGUGUAAGAUGGACCCGCGUUAGAUUAGCCAGUUGGCGGGGUAACGGCCCACCAAAGCGACGAUCUAUAGCCGGCCUGAGAGGGCGACCGGCCACAUUGGGACUGAGACACGGCCCAGACUCCUACGGGAGGCAGCAGUGGGGAAUAUUGCACAAUGGGGGAAACCCUGAUGCAGCGAACCGCCGCGUGAGUGAUGAAGUAUUUCGGUAUGUAAAGCUCUAUCAGCAGGGAAGAUAUUGACGGUACCUGACUAAGAAGCCCCGGCUAACUACGUGCCAGCAGCGGC